CUCUCCGCCGGGUCCUCGGCACGCUGGUCAAACGAGGGCCGUGGGUGAUGGACGGACAGCUCCUGCUGGGCACCAUGCCAUGCCUGAAAACAACACAGCUGUCUUGUGACUCACUUGAAGAAGGCCUGAUUCUCGACCCCACACUUCCACAGAUGCUUACAGGCCUCCGGUGUAGGUGCAAAGUACGUCAGUAUGAUCUUCUUAUCCUGUAACAUGUCCAGCGAUACCGUUUAUACGACUUUCAAUACAACUUAACGUGGUAAGCGUGGAUUCAUUCUCAUGUUAAAGAGACAAUGACUUCACAUGUACUGUUAUGGAUUACACAGGCUACCCAGUGGCAGUGUCCCAUGCAGAGGACAAAGCUUCGCGAGCUCCACGGGCUAGAAAGGGAAAGGUUUUAAUAAAUAAUACACGCGUACCUCCGUCUGAUUUGCAUAUAUAUGGAAUGUCUUUGCUUCAAACUUGAGUUUGGUCACCUCCUCCCUGCGUGUGAGAGACACAGAAAGACACGAUGCAAUACAUUUAUCCUUAAAAAAAAGCAUAGUUUAGUGGGCAAUAAAGAAAAGAAAGGCGUCUGACGGUCGCUGCGUUCAUUUCCUCUGCUUCUCCAGGGCUGCACACCUGAUAGGGGAUUAAUCCCGUGCACCCCGUGCUUAGAGGCUGAGCAGCAGAUUCCAUUUGUUUGCAGAUCUCCUCUCUGCUCGUGUCGUUGGUGUGGCUUUUGGACGCUUUACAGGUUCCUCCCAACAAUUUCAGAUAUAUUGUCUGAAGUAAGUAUUUCAUUUGUGUGUCCCCUGUUAAUGUCCCUUUCUGGUGUUCGAUUGGACUUAUAAUUAUUAAGUUAUUAUUAUUAUUAUUGUUCCCUGUGUUUUGGAUUUACCAGCUGGCUGCUUUGUGCUACCUGUCUGUGCUUACCCGUCUUCCCUCGGCCUCUCAGGUUAUGAGUCUUUAUCAACAAUAAUCCUCAUCGUUCCAUCUGUGUUUGUGUUGAACUCGGGACAUUAGGCCUUAAAAAAAUCAUGAAAACUAAUGCUGUCAUGUUAGUAAAUAAGUAAAAAGUAAUAUUAUAGUCUCUCAUUAAAAAACUGCUGAGUAUUGUACAUCAUAGAAAGGUGCCAUAAAAAGUCUCAUUUAUGACUCACAGACAAAAGGUCUGAAAAAAAGGCCUUUCCUUGAGUGUAUGAAGCAGUUUAUUUCAAGCUUUUGUAUAAAGCUGUUAAGGAUGAUAUAUGUUAAUUCAAAUAAUGUUUCGGUCAUCUUUUUUCUGUCUGCUUAGAACCUUUUGCUUUUCUGUACGGAGCUUUUACUUUACAAAAACGGCAAAAAAGUCUGGCUUUAAUUUGUGAGCAUGCACCUGGCCGUUGCACAUGUUUUUUAUCUAGCAUCAUGAACAGUUUUAACUUCAUCUUAACUCACCAUUUGAGGAAAUGGACCCUCCUGUUUCCUUGCAGCACAGUGAAUCCAAAAGGAGUAAAAGCCAGAAAAGCAGGGUUGCCAGACACAUCCUGACAGGCACAUAAACCCAAGUUUUUUAUUUUAGAAUCAUCAUUUUAAAUAACAGAUAGAUUAUAUUUACUUGUCCAACAUUGAUACUUUACACUUCAAGACAGUAACAAUUACAUUUUAUGAUUGACUUCAAAGUUCAUCUCACAUUUACUCAAAAAAAACAUCAAACAAAAUGACUCUUUGCGUCACAUGGCAUAUUUAAUGCCAUAAUUAAGACUCUAAAAAAAACUACAUCACAGAAUACAUGUGUUUUUGUAAUAACCACCUUGCAUGGAUGAGGGUCCACUCCGUAUGUCUCCAGCCUCUGAGCCUUCUGGAGAAAGUUCAUCUCUGACGUUUCUGGACUCUGACCUCUGAGAGAAAAGAAUAAAAUGUCAGUCGAUUGGCUUCUGACACAAACAAC